rnacentral:rRNA from 1 species
CAGUGGGGAAUCUUGCGCAAUGGACGAAAGUCUGACGCAGCGACGCCGCGUGGGCGACGAAGGCCUUCGGGUUGUAAAGCCCUGUGGGGCGGGACGAACACUCUCUAGACGAACAGGCUAGGGAGCUGACGGUACCGCCUUAGCAAGCACCGGCUAACUACGUGCCAGCAGCCGCGGUAAUACGUAGGUGGCAAGCGUUGUCCGGAAUUAUUGGGCGUAAAGCGCGCGCAGGCGGUCCUUUAAGUCUGAUGUGAAAGCCCACGGCUCAACCGUGGAGGGUCAUUGGAAACUGGGAGACUUGAGUGCAGAAGAGGAAAGCGGAAUUCCACGUGUAGCGGUGAAAUGCGUAGAGAUGUGGAGGAACACCAGUGGCGAAGGCGGCUUUCUGGUCUGUAACUGACGCUGAGGCGCGAAAGCGUGGGGAGCAAACAGGAUUAGAUACCCUGGUAGUCCACGCCGUAAACGAUGAGUGCUAAGUGUUAGAGGGUUUCCGCCCUUUAGUGCUGCAGCUAACGCAUUAAGCACUCCGCCUGGGGAGUACGG